rnacentral:rRNA from 1 species
GACGAACGCUGGCGGCGCGCUUAACACAUGCAAGUCGAGCGAAGCUGCGGACGGGUGAGUAACACGUGAGUAAACUGCCUUAGACAUUGGGAUAGCCUCGGGAAACCGGGAUUAAUACCAAAUUGUCUAAGAUGGACUCGCGUCCCAGUAGACAGUUGGGUGGUAACGGGCUACCAAGGCGGUAACGGGUAGCCGGCCUGAGAGGGUGGCCGGCCAGAGUGUGACUGCGAUACGGCCCAGACACUACGAGAGGCAGCAGUGGGGGAUAUUGCACAAGGGGCGAAAGCAAGAGGCGGAGACGCCGCGUGGGGGAUGAGGGCGUUCGGGUUGUAAACCUCGUUCGCUAUCGAACGGGUAGGUGGAGAAGAAGCGCCGGCUAACUACGUGCCAGCAGCCGCGGUAAUUC